UCGAAAUCAAAAUUUUCAGUAUAAGCGGUACAUAUCGGUAGUAUGUACUUUCACCAUGCCGAAAAGUUCGGUACGGUACGAUAUGUCAUCCCUAAUUAUGUGGGUAUAAACGUUAGCCACAUAUGUAUCUAUAUCUAUUCCGAGAUUUAUGAUCCAGCAAAUCUCGCUGGUUAUUGAAGCAUUUGUUUGAUAGUUGAUGCUUAUCAAUGGCGGAUGAACCUGUAAAUGUAAGUGAGUUCCAAGAACUUGCUAAGGUUGCCUUCUAAAGAUGUACUACGACUUCUAUGCUGGAGGCACCGAAGAUAAGCAAACUCUGCAAGAAAAUGUCAAAGCAUUUCAAAGGAUUGUAUCGGGCGAGCCAUCCCAAUCCCAUCAUUUUCGGUUUGGCUGCAAAGGGAGGGAGAAAACAGGGUGAAGCAAGUGAUGGAUAUAUAUGCUGAAGCCUUUUUUCUUUAAAUCCACCGAUAGGCUGAAACUUUUUUCAGCAAUAACUUUGUAUGGAACUGCAAUGGUG